rnacentral:rRNA from 1 species
UCCACGCCCUAAACGAUGAACACUAGUCGUCGGGAUGCUAGUCAUCUCGGUGAUGCACUUAACAGAUUAAGUGUUCCGCCUGGGGAGUACGGUCGCAAGAUUAAAACUUAAAGGAAUAGACGGGGACCCGCACAAGUGGGGGAGCAAACCUUAAAACAUAAUCUCAGUUCGGAUUGUAGUCUGCAACUCGACUACAUGAAGUUGGAAUCACUAGUAAUCGUGGAUCAGCCAUG